GUGCCAGCCGCCGCGGUAAUACGGAGGGUGCAAGCGUUAUCCGGAUUCACUGGGUUUAAAGGGUGCGUAGGAGGGCAGGGAAGUCAGUGGUGAAAUCUCCGGGCUUAACUCGGAAACUGCCGUUGAUACUCUCUGUCUUGAAUCCCGUGGAGGUGAGCGGAAUAUGUCAUGUAGCGGUGAAAUGCUUAGAUAUGACAUAGAACACCAAUUGCGAAGGCAGCUCGCUACACGAAGAUUGACUCUGAGGCACGAAAGCGUGGGGAUCAAACAGGAUUAGAUACCCCCGUAGUCC
rnacentral:rRNA from 1 species